UAGGGAAUCUUCCGCAAUGGACGCAAGUCUGACGGAGCAACGCCGCGUGAGUGAAGAAGGAUUUCGGUUCGUAAAACUCUGUUGUUAGAGAAGAACAGCGCAUAGAGUAACUGUUAUGCGUGUGACGGUAUCUAACCAGAAAGCCACGGCUAACUACGUGCCAGCAGCCGCGGUAAUACAUAGGUGGCAAGCGUUGUCCGGAUUUAUUGGGCGUAAAGCGAGCGCAGGCGGUCAAUUAAGUCUGAUGUGAAAGCCCCCGGCUCAACCGGGGAGGGUCAUUGGAAACUGGUUGACUUGAGUGCAGAAGAGGAGAGUGGAAUUCCAUGUGUAGCGGUGAAAUGCGCAGAGAUAUGGAGGAACACCAGUGGCGAAGGCGACUUUCUGGUCUGUAACUGACGCUGAUGUGCGAAAGCGUGGGGAUCAAACAGG
rnacentral:rRNA from 1 species